rnacentral:rRNA from 1 species
GAUGAACGCUGGCGGCGUGCCUAAUACAUGCAAGUCGAGCGAACGGACGAGAAGCUUGCUUCUCUGAUGUUAGCGGCGGACGGGUGAGUAACACGUGGAUAACCUACCUAUAAGACUGGGAUAACUUCGGGAAACCGGAGGUAAUACCGGAUAAUAUUAUGAACCGCAUGGUUCAAAAGUGAAAGACGGUCUUGCUGUCACUUAUAGAUGGAUCCGCGCUGCAUUAGCUAGUUGGUAAGGUAACGGCUUACCAAGGCAACGAUGCAUAGCCGACCUGAGAGGGUGAUCGGCCACACUGGAACUGAGACACGGUCCAGACUCCUACGGGAGGCAGCAGUAGGGAAUCUUCCGCAAUGGGCGAAAGCCUGACGGAGCAACGCCGCGUGAGUGAUGAAGGUCUUCGGAUCGUAAAACUCUGUUAUUAGGGAAGAACAUAUGUGUAAGUAACUGUGCACAUCUUGACGGUACCUAAUCAGAAAGCCACGGCUAACUACGUG